rnacentral:rRNA from 1 species
UGGGGAAUCUUGGGCAAUGGGCGAUAGCCUGACCCAGUGAGAACACAUGCAUGACGACGGCGUCUAGUUUUCUGUAAAGUGCUUUUCGCGGUUCGACGAUAAUGACUAAAGACCGAGAAGAAGUGCCGGCCAACUCCGUGCCAGCAGCCGCGGUAAGACGGAGGGCGCGGGCGUUAUUCGUUUUGAUUGGGUGUAAAGGGUACGUAGGCGGUUCCGAUUUUUUAGGCUAAAAGAACAAAGUGAUCCUUUGUGAUGGUCUUUUACAGACAGGAACUUGUGUUGGGGAUAGGUUGGGUCAAAUUCUUCUUAAGGGGUAAUAUCCAUAGAAAUUGGGAUGAAAGUCAGCGUGCGGAGGCGCCUUUCUUGCUCCAACAGACGCUAAGGUACGGAAGCUUAGGUAGCAAACAGGAUUAGAUACCCCGGUAGUCC